GUGCUCACUUCUGUAGCACUUAAACUAAAAUUGGAUUGGUACAGAAGAGAAGCUUAAGCGUGACCUCUGUGCAAGGAUGACAUGUAAAUGAAGUGUUUCAUAUUUUU